GGGCCCGCACAAGCGGUGGAGCAUGUGGUUUAAUUCGAUGAUACGCGAGGAACCUUACCAGGGCUUAAAUGUAAGUUGCAUUAGUUAGAGAUAGCUAUUUCUUCGGACCACUUACAAGGUGCUGCAUGGUUGUCGUCAGCUCGUGCCGUGAGGUGUCAGGUUAAGUCCUAUAACGAGCGCAACCCCCUGUUGUUAGUUGCCAGCAUUUUAGUUGGGCACUCUAGAGAGACUGCCGGUGAUAAACCGGAGAAGGUGUGGAUGACGUCAAGUCAUCAUGCCCCUUACAUCUGGGCUACACACGUACUACAAUGCUACGGACAAAGGGCAGCAAGUUCGCGAGGACAAGCAAAUCCCAUAAACGUGGCUC
rnacentral:rRNA from 1 species